GCCUGCCUGUGAUUUUUUUAACGGCCGCGGUACCUAACCGUGCAAGGUAGAUAAUCAAUUGUCCCUUAAAUUAGGACUAGUAUGAACGGCAUCACGAGGGUUAAACUGUCUCCCCCCUUAAAUCAAUGAAAUUAAUCUCCCCGUGAAGAAGCGGGGAUAAAAUUAUAAGACGAAAAGACCCCAUGGAGCUUUAAGCUUAUUAUCACUUAUCUAAUUAUGAAGCAGAUUAAUGAUAAAAGUGUUUAAUAGCUUUCGGUUGGGGCGACCCUGGAGAAAAAUGUAUCCUCCAGAUUGAAAAAAUAACCCUUAUGUAAGAACUACUAUUCAAAUAAACAAAAACUUGACAAAACUGACCCAGAAUUAACUGAUCAGUGAACCAAGUUACCCUGGGGAUAACAGCGCAAUCCAUUUCAAGAGCCCAUAUCGACAAAUGGGUUUACGACCUCGAUGUUGGAUCGGGGUAUCCUAGCAGCGCAGCCGUUGCUAAUGGUUCGUUUGUUCAACGAUUAACACCCCACGUGAUCU
rnacentral:rRNA from 1 species